rfam:Salmo salar isolate Sally breed double haploid chromosome ssa11, whole genome shotgun sequence.
UGCAGUCACUACUGCAAGUCUCUCUGGAUAAAAGCGUCUGCUAAAUGACUAAAA